CCCCACUGCUAUCGNGAUAGGACUAAGACNUGCUAGUCGCGCGCCUUCCAGCUAUGUGGGAGGAGCGGCGUACAGCUCAGUAACACGUGGCUAACCUACCCUUAGGACGGAAAUAUCCCCGGGAAACUGGGGUUAAUGUCCGAUAGGUGAAGAACCCUGGAAUGGGUUUUCGCCCAAAGGGCGCUUAGAUCAUGCUUCUAGGCGUUGCCUAAGGAUGGGGCCGCGGCCGAUCAGGUUGUUGGUGAGGUAACGGCUCACCAAGCCUUUAACCGGUGCGGGCCGUGGGAGCGGGAGCCCGGAGAUGGGCACUGAGACAAGGGCCCAGGCCCUACGGGGCGCAGCAGUCGCGAAAACUUCGCAAUAAGCGAAAGCUUGACGGGGUCAUCCCGAGUGCCAUCCGCUGAGGAUGGCUUUUCCCUAGUAUAGAUAGCUGGGGGAAUAAGGAGAGGGCAAGUCUGGUGUCAGCCGCCGCGGUAAUACCAGCUCUCCGAGUGGUGUGGAUGAUUAUAGGGCCUAAAGCAUCCGUAGCUGGCUGGACAAGUCCCCUGUUAAAUCCAGCGAUCUAAUCGUUGGCGUGCGGGGGGUACUGUUCGGCUAGGGGGCGAGAGAGGCCGUCGGUAUUCUCGGGGUAGGGGUGAAAUCCUAUAAUCCCGGGAAGACCACCAGUGGCGAAGGCUGUCGGCUAGAACGCGCCCGACGGUGAGGGAUGAAAGCUGGGGGAGCGAACCGGAUUAGAUACCCGGGUAGUCCCAGCUGUAAACGAUGCAGGCUAGGUGUUAGGGCGGCUACGUGCCGCUCUGGUGCCGCAGGGAAGCUGUUAAGCCUGCCGCCUGGGGAGUACGGUCGCAAGGCUGAAACUUAAAGGAAUUGGCGGGGGAGCACCACAAGGGGUGAAGCUUGCGGUUU
rnacentral:rRNA from 1 species